AGCACCUAAAAGCGUUUUCCUGCCAGCCCAUUAAAUGCUCUCGAAAAUCGUAGAUGUGUGCCAGAGUAAAGAUCAGUUGCAAGUGUUUCUGUUUUCUCUCAUGGCAGAAUUCCAUAUGGCUGACUAUAAGU